rnacentral:rRNA from 1 species
UCCUACGGGAGGCAGCAGCGAGGAAUCUUGCGCAAUGGGCGAAAGCCUGACGCAGCCACGCCGCGUGCCGGAUGAAGGCCCUAUGGGUUGUAAACGGCUUUUAAGCAGGAAGAACGACCGGAUUUCGAUCUGGUGUGACGGUACUGCUUGAAUAAGCACCGGCUAACUCCGUGCCAGCAGCCGCGGUAAUACGGAGGGUGCAAGCGUUGUCCGGAAUCAUUGGGUGUAAAGGGUGCGUAGGCGGGCGUCUAAGUCUGGGGUGAAAUCUUGCCGCUUAACGGUAAAAUGGCCUUGGAUACUGGGCGUCUUGAGUGUAGAAGAGGUAAGUGGAAUUCGUAGUGUAGCGGUGAAAUGCAUAGAUAUUACGAAGAACAUCAGUGGCGAAGGCGGCUUACUGGUCUACAACUGACGCUGAGGCACGAAAGCGUGGGGAGCGAACAGGAUUAGAUACCCUGGUAGUCCACGCUGUAAACGAUGCAUACUAGGUGUUGGCCUUUCGGGGCCAGUGCUGCAGUUAACGCAUUAAGUAUGCCACCUGGGGAGUACGUCGGCAACGAUGAAACUCAAAUGAAUUGACGG